AAACCAUGAUGAGGGAAUCUCCUUUGCAACUCCUUAAGCCUUUUCCAAACUUCAUAAAGUGACUCAUCAUCCUUCUGGUAGAAACUAGCACUCUACUGUCUGAUUUC
rfam:Ricinus communis cultivar Hale ctg_1100012350896, whole genome shotgun sequence.